rnacentral:rRNA from 1 species
UACAGAGGUCUCAAGCGUUGUUCGGAUUCAUUGGGCGUAAAGGGUGCGUAGGUGGCGCUGUAAGUCGGGUGUGAAAUUUCGGAGCUUAACUCCGAAACUGCAUUCGAUACUGCGGUGCUUGAGGACUGGAGAGGAGACUGGAAUUCAUGGUGUAGCAGUGAAAUGCGUAGAGAUCCGGAAGAACACCGGUGGCGAAGGCGGCCUGCUGGGCAGUAGCUGACACUGAGGCGCGACAGCGUGGGGAGCAAACAGG